AGAUCACUGCAAGAAGUCCUAGGAGUCACUCCAGCCGGAAGAGACACUCCGGGGAGCAUGAUCGUCAUGCACUUGGUUGGGCAUCCUCAGCUGUGUGGCUACGGAAGGUGUGGCCACUGCUCACACCAUGCUCACAUCCAGGGGCCCAAGAGACACCAGGGAGCCUGCUCCUCCCACAAGGUCCUGGAGGAGCCGCUUCCAGAGAGCUCUGGCACGCGUGUCCAAGUUCUUCAGGAGAGGACGCCGAACGGCCCGAGGCUGAGACCACUGGAACCCUAGACAUGGGGGCCAUGCGCAGUGAUCAAGAUCUAUGGCAGCGCAGGCCCCUGCUUUCAAGGAAUCUUGUCCAGUGAUGUUGAAAUAAAUGCUGGCAGAUUUUC
rnacentral:lncRNA from 1 species